CCGUACACAAAAGCGCAUGUGCUGUGAGCUCGAUGAGUAGGGCGGGACACGUGGUAUCCUGUCUGAAUAUGGGGGGACCAUCCUCCAAGGCUAAAUACUCCUGACUGACCGAUAGUGAACCAGUACCGUGAGGGAAAGGCGAAAAGAACCCCGGCGAGGGGAGUGAAAAAGAACCUGAAACCGUGUACGUACAAGCAGUGGGAGCACAGGUUUACCUGUGUGACUGCGUACCUUUUGUAUAAUGGGUCAGCGACUUAUAUUCUGUAGCAAGGUUAACCGAAUAGGGGAGCCGGAGGGAAACCGAGUCUUAAUUGGGCGUUAAGUUGCAGGGUAUAGACCCGAAACCCGGUGAUCUAGCCAUGGGCAGGUUGAAGGUUGGGUAACACUAACUGGAGGACCGAACCGACUAAUGUUGAAAAAUUAGCGGAUGACCUGUGGCUGGGGGUGAAAGGCCAAUCAAACCGGGAGAUAGCUGGUUCUCCCCGAAAGCUAUUUAGGUAGCGCCUCGUGAAUUCAUCUCCGGGGGUAGAGCACUGUUUCGGCUAGGGGGCCAUCCCGGCUUACCAACCCGAUGCAAACUGCGAAUACCGGAGAAUGUUAUCACGGGAGACACACGGCGGGUGCUAACGUCCGUCGUGAAGAGGGAAACAACCCAGACCGCCAGCUAAGGUCCCAAAGUCAUGGUUAAGUGGGAAACGAUGUGGGAAGGCCCAGACAGCCAGGAUGUUGGCUUAGAAGCAGCCAUCAUUUAAAGAAAGCGUAAUAGCUCACUGGUCGAGUCGGCCUGCGCGGAAGAUGUAACGGGGCUAAACCAUGCACCGAAGCUGCGGCAGCGAACGUAUCACCCAAGACAACUUUACGGAGUUGACGAUUGACGGAGCGAAGCGACGUCAAAGCGUUCAUUAAAGUCGAGUUGGCUUAGGGAUACGUUCGUUGGGUAGGGGAGCGUUCUGUAAGCCUGUGAAGGUGUGUCGUGAGGCAUGCUGGAGGUAUCAGAAGUGCGAAUGCUGACAUAAGUAACGAUAAAGCGGGUGAAAAGCCCGCUCGCCGGAAGACCAAGGGUUCCUGUCCAACGUUAAUCGGGGCAGGGUGAGUCGACCCCUAAGGCGAGGCCGAAAGGCGUAGUCGAUGGGAAACGGGUUAAUAUUCCCGUACUUGGUGUUACUGCGAAGGGGGGACGGAGAAGGCUAUGUUGGCCGGGCGACGGUUGUCCCGGUUUAAGCGUGUAGGUGUGUGUUCCAGGUAAAUCCGGUU
rnacentral:rRNA from 2 species